rnacentral:piRNA from 1 species
UGGGAACUCGACAUCGCUUUGGUUUCUC